AACGAACGCUGGCUGCAUGCCUAACACAUGCAAGACGAACGAGACCUUCGGGUCUAGUGGCGCACGGGUGCGUAACGCGUGGGAACCUGCCCUUAGGUUCGGAAUAACUCCCCGAAAGGGGUGCUAAUACCGGAUAAUGUCUUCGGACCAAAGAUUUAUCGCCUUUGGAUGGGCCCGCGUUGGAUUAGCUAGUUGGUAGGGUAAAAGCCUACCAAGGCGACGAUCCAUAGCUGGUCUGAGAGGAUGAUCAGCCACACUGGGACUGAGACACGGCCCAGACUCCUACGGGAGGCAGCAGUGGGGAAUAUUGGACAAUGGGCGAAAGCCUGAUCCAGCAAUGCCGCGUGAGUGAUGAAGGCCUUAGGGUUGUAAAGCUCUUUUACCCGGGAUGAUAAUGACAGUACCGGGAUAAUAAGCUCCGGCUAACUCCGUG
rnacentral:rRNA from 1 species